CUCCGUCCUUCUUUGAGCAGGUCGGCGUAGGUCAUCUUCUUCCUCUUGACCUCCGAUUGGCCGGCUGUCUCCGACUCUGCCGUUUGUGUGUUUGGGCCCUCAUUGCGGUCGCCUUACUUCCUCCACCUCUUCUUCUUGCUUUUGCUGCACGUCAGCAGUUGGCUCUGUCAACUCUGUGACAGCAAACGUAAGGAAGCUGAAAACGAUGACAUUUCAUGUUAGUCACGCAAUUAACCUGCACACGAGUCUUCAUCUUUCUGCGUUUGCCGCUCAUCAGCCGUUUGCUCCGUCGACUCUGACAAACAAAAAAAUAGAAAUGUUGCAUCUCGUUAUUUUCAGGUUUUACCAUUACAGCUGUGCAGCCAAAUUAACCUGCACGUGGUUCUUCUGGUUUUUCUUCUUCUACGAAGCGUUCUACCUCUUCUUCCUCCUUCUUCUCCCCUUCCUGGUCCUGGUCAUCUCCCUCGCUGGGUACAACGUCGACAAAAUCCAUCAUGCCGAUUUCAACAGCACCAAAGAAGAAACUUAAAUCUAUCAUCGCGUCAAAGAAAGGCUGACCUGAUAAAGCACAACACCUGCAAGUUCCUGAUGGAGGAGAAGUCUGCAUUUGACAGACAGAUCGGCUCCUCCCGGUCUUGCACCAGACUGGACCAAUCCUGUACCUCAUCGUCCUGCAGCUGCUCCUGAAGGAGAAAAAAAUACAACCCGGAACCCAAACACAUGGGGUGAACUUUCCCGUGUAUCGCAGCAAACAACCAACGAGGAAACGGCGAGGACUCACCUGAUGUUCCUUGAGCCACGUCAGCAAAGAGUUAAAAGUGAAGCUAGCCCACUUGGAUGCGUAGUAACUCCUCCUAAAACGCGAGUGCAGAUAUCCUCUCAGCGUGCGUGUGAAGAGGUAUAGGACAUUUGUAAACUCACGUGUCCAGGUGAAGAACUCUUUGUCCCACUCGCGAACAAGCUGCCGCCACCACCGACUCCGUGAGACCUUGGACAACCGAACGGGAGGCCGCGAUUAGAAAGCUUUGUGUCCAAUUGUUUCGACCGCUCUAAUUGGUUUUACUACUUUUCCAAUUGGCGAUAUCAAGUUUUUAAAAAAUACAAAUUGAGAAGCUGGCAUUGGACAAAACUUCGAGGACUUGGCCCAAAUCCAUGUGUCAGAAUGAUUGUGACGCUUCCAACAGAACGUGAUGUUGAUUUCA